rnacentral:rRNA from 1 species
GAUGAACGCUGGCGGCGUGCCUAAUACAUGCAAGUCGAGCGAACAGACGAGGAGCUUACUCCUCUGACGUUAGCGGCGGACGGGUGAGUAACACGUGGAUAACCUACCUAUAAGACUGGGAUAACUUCGGGAAACCGGAGCUAAUACCGGAUAACAUGUUGAACCGCAUGGUUCAACAGUGAAAGACGGUCUUGCUGUCACUUAUAGAUGGAUCCGCGUCGCAUUAGCUAGUUGGUAAGGUAACGGCUUACCAAGGCAACGAUGCGUAGCCGACCUGAGAGGGUGAUCGGCCACACUGGAACUGAGACACGGUCCAGACUCCUACGGGAGGCAGCAGUAGGGAAUCUUCCGCAAUGGGCGAAAGCCUGACGGAGCAACGCCGCGUGAGUGAAGAAGGUCUUCGGAUCGUAAAACUCUGUUAUUAGGGAAGAACAAAUGUGUAAGUAACUAUGCACGUCUUGACGGUACCUAAUCAGAAAGCCACGGCUAACUACGUGCCAGCAGCCGCGGUAAUACGUAGGUGGCAAGCGUUAUCCGGAAUUAUUGGGCGUAAAGCGCGCGUAGGCGGUUUUUUAAGUCUGAUGUGAAAGCCCACGGCUCAACCGUGGAGGGUCAUUGGAAACUGGAAAACUUGAGUGCAGAAGAGGAAAGUGGAAUUCCAUGUGUAGCGGUGAAAUGCGCAGAGAUAUGGAGGAACACCAGUGGCGAAGGCGACUUUCUGGUCUGUAACUGACGCUGAUGUGCGAAAGCGUGGGGAUCAAACAGG